rnacentral:rRNA from 1 species
CUCAGGAUGAACGCUGGCGGCGUGCUUAACACAUGCAAGUCGAACGAAGCACUUUAUUUGAUUUCUUCGGAAUGAAGAUUUUGUGACUGAGUGGCGGACGGGUGAGUAACGCGUGGGUAACCUGCCUCACACAGGGGGAUAACAGUUGGAAACGACUGCUAAUACCGCAUAAGCGCACAGGGUCGCAUGACCUGGUGUGAAAAACUCCGGUGGUAUGAGAUGGACCCGCGUCUGAUUAGCCAGUUGGUGGGGCAACGGCCUACCAAAGCGACGAUCAGUAGCCGACCUGAGAGGGUGACCGGCCACAUUGGGACUGAGACACGGCCCAAACUCCUACGGGAGGCAGCAGUGGGGAAUAUUGCACAAUGGGGGAAACCCUGAUGCAGCGACGCCGCGUGAGCGAAGAAGUAUUUCGGUAUGUAAAGCUCUAUCAGCAGGGAAGAAGAAAUGACGGUACCUGACUAAGAAGCACCGGCUAAAUACGUGCCAGCAGCCGCGGUAAUACGUAUGGUGCAAGCGUUAUCCGGAUUUACUGGGUGUAAAGGGAGCGCAGGCGGUACGGCAAGUCUGAUGUGAAAGCCCGGGGCUCAACCCCGGUACUGCAUUGGAAACUGUCGGACUAGAGUGUCGGAGGGGUAAGUGGAAUUCCUAGUGUAGCGGUGAAAUGCGUAGAUAUUAGGAGGAACACCAGUGGCGAAGGCGGCUUACUGGACGAUUACUGACGCUGAGGCUCGAAAGCGUGGGGAGCAAACAGGAUUAGAUACCCUGGUAGUCCACGCCGUAAACG